rnacentral:rRNA from 1 species
AACUAUUCUUUAGGUAGUAAUAUUCAAUAAAACCACUAAAACUUGGUAGUCAUAGUCUAUUAAAGAAACUUGUUUUUUAAUCGACAAUACCCGAUAAAUUUAACUUAUUUAUAAAAUUUAUAUACCGCCGUUUACAUGAAACAAUUAAAACAAAAACUCAAAAUCAACAUAAUUCUAAAAAUCAGGUCAAGGUGUAAUAAAAUCUUAAGCAAAAAUAAGUUACAUAUAAAAUAAAAUUAAGGAAUAAAAUUUAAAACCCACAAAGAAAAAGAAUUUAUAAAUAAUUUAUAAUCAAAAUUUAUUAAAGAAACAAUUCAUUAUGAUGC